ensembl:lncRNA
AUGUGCACCGCCCUCUGCCCCCUUACACCCUGCUCUGCAAGACGAGGCACGGGUAUCCCGGAAGGAGGGACAUGGGCGGAUGACCGAGGCCUUGUGCCUGGCGUGGCUUGUGAGGGAGAACACCCGGACGUCUGUUCAGCAGGAACUUGGCGACCAAAGACGGAGAGGUGGGGGUUCUGCCCUCCCUGGGGAGCAGCGCGGGUCUGCAGGCCAAGAUCCCUUUCCUGCAGCCAAGGUCCCCUUCACCCGCACUCACGGGUGGGAAGGGAGCGCACGCUUAGCUCUGUCUCUGCCUUGUCCUCCUUCAGUGUCUCCUCCUUGGGCACCGGCCUCUUCCUCGCCUGCCUGCCUGCGGGUGCCUUGAGUGCAGGGCUGUGCUGGUUUUCAGCGUCGGCGAGGGGCAUCUGGGCGACGCUGAAACAGCAGCAGCUGGUCAGGGCAGGCGCUGCCCUCUGCCCUGGGAGCUUCUUCAGCGCUGCCUGCAGGCCCCAGGAGGCGGGCUCCAGGGGUCCGGCCCGUGGAACAGGGCUCACCACCUGCACCGACGCCCUGGCAGGUAUGUCCCAGACCCCUGCCCCAAGUGCCCAUGUCCCUUCUCUCCGCCCCUCCUCCUCCUACCCUCCUUUAGGAGGUUGUCCGCUGUCCUCUGAGCUCUCCACGUGGGGUGCUGUGUUUCCUGCACCCCAGGCUGGUCCACAUUCCCUGCUGGUUACAUCACACAAGCUGAGGUCACAAAGAAGGGUGGGGGAGGGGCAGGGACGUGGCGAAGCUCCAAGGCAGAGCUGCAAAGCUGCAAAGCUCAGCUGACGUCACAACUGCGGAGCACCCGCCUCCCCAGGGGAGACGCCGUGCUAGGGGCUCCACCUGCACAGGCUCCUUCUCCUGCACCCUGCAUUCCUCUUGGGGGGAGACAGACAUUAAACAGGGGGAUAGAGGGCAAGAACAUCUGGAGGGCCGUGCACGUCAUGGGGACACAGAGCCUGUUCAAUAUAAACUGGAUUGGCAAGCGGGGGAUGCGUGGAUCUGGGUGGGGAAUGCGUGGAUCUGGGUGGGGAAUGCGUGGAUCGCUCCCCCUCUUCGUGGAGGAACGACACAGAGUCCUACCUAGGCUUCAUAUCCGAGUCACGGCACCAUUAUGUCGCUCCCCCUCUUCGUGGAGGAGCAACACUAAACCCUGCCUAGGCUUCAUAUCCGAGUCACGGCACCAUUAUGUCGCUCCCCCUCUUCGUGGAGGAACGACACAGGACCCUGCGCUGUUCUUUCGUCUGCUCGGCCCUCCCCGGGUUUGCUGCUGGUUCUUCCCGGGUUGGCUACUAUCCCUUCCACCUCCGUGGAAGGGCAGUUCCCCCUGGCCGCAUUCCCCACUUCCGCAGGGGAGCGGCACACCGCCGGCCGGCUCUCUCGGGGGCUGCACGAGUUCCCUUAGAUGUUCCCCUUAGAUGUUCCCGGUGCAUGCCGUCUCUCUCCUCCUUUAUAGUCCUUCUCUGCCAAUCCCAACUCGGCUGAGUACGCUGCUCUCCAAUCAGGAGCAAGUCCUACAGUUAAUUGGUUGAACUGGAGGCAGCUGUGCGGAAGCUGCCUACUUCUCUCCCAGCGCCAUAUUGUGGGAGAGCAGAUGCAUAGAAUAAGUCCUAAUUCGAGUAACUUAGUCUAGUCCGGAUUGCUCCCCACAUGCAAGUGCUCAGGAAUGCGUGUGUGGGUCUGCCAUGUGCCUGCUGACAUGGAACAGCCCCAUGCCUUCCCCCCACACCUUCACGCCUCUCUCAGUCAAUGCCUCCCCUCCGUAGCCACUGUCUGAACACCGCCAAGCCACACUUGGCUUUGCUCACAUCCAUCCCCACAUGCGUCAGCCCAGCACCAUCAGCUCUUUUGGUCUGCUCUCUUCCUCUCAACACUGCUAUUGGGGUCCAUCUGCAUGCUUCUGCACAGUAGCAGUCCAUGCGUGCUCACUAGGGUUUUCUCCCUCCACAGUCUCAGAAAGUAUUCAGUCAUUCACAUUCUGAAGGCCUCUUUUCUGCUCCUAGCUAUUACGGAUAAAGCUGAAAUGUAGGUUCAUGUCACGUGUUUUGCUGGGUGUGAGCACCGUUUCUGUCGAGUGAUAACAAGGAGUGCAGUUCUUGCUUCGUAAUGUUCCUCGCGAGCCAAGCUUGUUGGCACGAAACACCAUGGGCUUGGCGGUUUCAGUGACAGAAAUCCGUUUUGUCACAGACACGGAUGAUAACGUUCAAGAGGAAGACACGACCGUGGUUCGGAUUUGUUGGGACCUCUGUCUGGCUCACAGAUGCUGCAUUCUCCCUGUGCCCCCAGAGGCUCGCAGAGAGGGACAGUAAGCUCUCUGGUGCCUCUUCUCAAAGUGGCGCUAAUCCCAUGAUGAGGGCUGCACCCACAUGGCCUCAUCUGUCCUACUUCUCUCCCCAAGGUCCCCGUCCCCAGCUAAUGUCACUGAGGGUCAGGACUCCAUAUGGGAACGGUGGGGGCACAUGAGGAAUCCACAGUUCUGCACCCCUGGGCCUCCCCACAGAAACUUCUAAGUUCUGCAUACAUGCAAUGCACUCCGUUUAUGCAAAUAGCCCUAGGGGUAUUUUUUAAAAGGUUGAUUUAUUCAUUUCACAGGCAGACUGACAGGCACAGGGGGAGACACAAAGACUGAGAGAUUUUCCAUCUGCUGCUUCACUCCCCAAAGGUCCUCAAUGGCCAGGACUGGACCAUGCUGAAUCCAGAAACCAGGACCUAACUCAGGCCUCCCGUGGGUGUAGAAUUCAAGCACUUGGGCCAUUGUCCACUGCCUCCCAGGCAUGCUACCAGAAAGCUGGAUUAGAACCACAGAGCAUGAGGCUGGCACUGCGGCUCAGUAGAUUAAUCCUCUGCCUAAAGUGCCGGUAUCCCAUACGGGUGCCAGUCUAGUCCCAGCUGUUCUUCUUCAGUCCAGCUCUCUGCUGUCGCCUGGGAAAGCAGUAGAAGAUGGCCCAAGUCCUUGGGCCCCUGCACCCAUGUGGGAGACCCGGAAGAAGCUCCUAGCUCCUGGCUUUGGAUCGGCACAGCUCUGGCUGUUAUGGCUAUUUGGGGAGUAAACCAGCGGAUGGAAGACCUUUCUCUCUGUCUCUCCCUCUCACUGUAACUCUACCCCUCAAAUAAAUAAAUAAAACCAUUUAAAAAAAGAACCCCA